GGCUUCCCUCAUUUACAGCUUUAAUUAACCGGCCCUGUAGCCGCCUACCCAGAGCCCAGCACUGGCGCUGAAGUCAUCACCUGAUGCGAGGGGACGGCAGCACGCAAAAGCAGCACGAGCCACAAACAUCUUUCUCCAGCACAAACGUUGCUCUACGAGGAAAAAAAAAACGCUAUUUCAUACCCGCCUGUAACAAUUGCUAUUAUACCACACGCUUGUUUUCUCUUGUGUCUCUUAAGUUAGAGAGGAAAACCAGAUUUUACCGUAAAGAUUUCUCAGCCUCGUUCCUCUCUUAGCCAAAGGACAGACCCCUAGAGACCUUCACCAAGUCUUCAGGCCUCCGACAGAGGCCACUCGAGCAGCUCGCUGGCUCCCACCGCCGAGCCGGCAGGCCCACGGGGGGGCACAGCACCCUUUUUCUGCACGCCGCCACGCAGCUCUGCUGCCGCACGUCGGAAAAUCCCGCUCCCCGCAAAAGCGCGCGCUCCUGGCACUCUUACGAGGGGGUGAUUCGCUGCCGAGGAGAGGAGGGGAGAAAAGGCGGUUAAAAAUGGUCUUUGGUGAGAAAGGUUGUUCCCGCUCUGCUUCUGAAUUUGCUGAAACAAGUGGUCAAAAUCAAUAUAUAAUGACAACUCCAGUCUUGGAAUGACUUCCUCUGGACUAUGGAAGUUCCUUUGGACUUAGAGACUGGAACUUGGGUGAAGAAAGGUUUGAGAAACCCAUUAGAUGGGCGGAAGCAAGAUGGAUGAGGCCAAGUAUGGAGUUUCAAACAUAAGGAUCCGCACGAACGCAGGUGUAAAGUUGCAGCUGAGCACCUCCAGAAGUCUUAACAGGUGCUUUGGUGGAAAGGGCGUUGUGAGCUGGGAGUCAGCGUGCUGUAGUCAUGCGGUACACCUGGGACAGUCAGCCACCAAGCUGGCAACAGCCAUGGAGCUUUUAAGAAGGAAUCAGUUCAAAAUAAC
rnacentral:lncRNA from 1 species